UACGUAGGGUGCGAGCGUUGUCCGGAUUUAUUGGGCGUAAAGAGCUCGUAGGCGGUGUGUCGCGUCGGCCGUGAAAACCUGCAGCUUAACUGUGGGCGUGCGGUCGAUACGGGCAUCACUGGAGUUCGGCAGGGGAGACUGGAAUCCUGGUGUAGCGGUGAAAUGCGUAGAUAUCUGGAGGAAUACCGGUGGCGAAGGCGGCAUCCUGGACCGACAUUGACGCUGAGGAGCGAAAGCUAGGGGAGCAAACGGGG
rnacentral:rRNA from 1 species